GUAAGGCCCUUCGGGGUACACGAGCGGCGAACGGGUGAGUAACACGUGAGCAACCUGCCCCUGACUCCGGGAUAAGCGGUGGAAACGCCGUCUAAUACCGGAUACGACCCGCCACCUCAUGGUGGAGGGUGGAAAGUUUUAUCGGUCAGGGAUGGGCUCGCGGCCUAUCAGCUUGUUGGUGGGGUAACGGCCUACCAAGGCGAUUACGGGUAGCCGGCCUGAGAGGGCGACCGGCCACACUGGGACUGAGACACGGCCCAGACUCCUGCGGGAGGCAGCAGUGGGGAAUAUUGCACAAUGGGCGAAAGCCUGAUGCAGCGACGCCGCGUGGGGGAUGACGGCCUUCGGGUUGUAAACCUCUUUUACCACCAACGCAGGCUCCACGUUCUCGUGGGGUUGACGGUAGGUGGGGAAUAAGGACCGGCUAACUACGUGCCAGCAGCCGCGGUAAUACGUAGGGUCCGAGCGUUGUCCGGAAUUAUUGGGCGUAAAGAGCUCGUAGGCGGCAUGUCGCGUCUGCUGUGAAAGACCGGGGCUUAACUCCGGUUCUGCAGUGGAUACGGGCAUGCUAGAGGUAGGUAGGGGAAACUGGAAUUCCUGGUGUAGCGGUGAAAUGCGCAGAUAUCAGGAGGAACACCGGUGGCGAAGGCGGGUUUCUGGGCCUUACCUGACGCUGAGGAGCGAAAGCAUGGGGAGCGAACAGGAUUAGAUACCCUGGUA
rnacentral:rRNA from 1 species